GUGCUCAUUUCAGCAGCACAUAUACUAAAAUUGGAACGAUACAGAGAAGAUUAACAUAGCCCCU
ensembl:snRNA U6 U6 spliceosomal RNA